ACAAGCGGUGGAGCAUGUGGUUUAAUUCGACGCAACGCGAAGAACCUUACCAGGUCUUGACAUCCCUUGACAGCCUAAGAGAUUAGGUGUUCAUCCUUCGGGAUGACAAGGAGACAGGUGGUGCAUGGUUGUCGUCAGCUCGUGUCGUGAGAUGUUGGGUUAAGUCCCGCAACGAGCGCAACCCUUGUUCUUAGUUGCCAUCAGGUAAUGCUGGGCACUCUAAGGAUACUGCCGGUGACAAACCGGAGGAAGGUGGGGAUGACGUCAAAUCAUCAUGCCCUUUAUGACCUGGGCUACACACGUGCUACAAUGGCCUAUACAAAGGGUAGCGAAGCUGUGAAGUGGAGCCAAUCCCAAAAAGUAGGUCUCAGUUCGGAUUGUAGGCUGCAACUCGCCUACAUGAAGUCGGAAUCGCUAGUAAUCGCGGAUCAGCAUGCCGCGGUGAAUACGUUCCCGGGCCUU
rnacentral:rRNA from 1 species